GGGGUUGUAACUCAGUGGUAGAGUGUUCGAUUUACAUGCGAAAAGCCCGGAGUUCAAUCCUCCGCAACUCCA
rnacentral:tRNA from 1 species